GUAGGGUGCGAGCGUUAAUCGGAAUACUGGGCGUAAAGCGUGCGCAGGCGGUUAUAUAAGACAGUUGCGAAAUCCCCGGGCUUAACCUGGGAAUGGCGCUUGUGACUGCACGACUGGAGUGCGGCAGAGGGGGAUGGAAUUCCGCGUGUAGCAGUGAAAUGCGUAGAUAUGCGGAGGAACACCGAUGGCGAAGGCAGUCCCCUGGGCCUGCACUGACGCUCAUGCACGAAAGCGUGGGGAGCAAACAGGAUUAGAUACCCUGGUAGUCAAGGGCG
rnacentral:rRNA from 1 species